rnacentral:rRNA from 1 species
GACGAACGCUGGCGGCGUGCUUAACACAUGCAAGUCGAGCGGUAAGGCCCUUCGGGGGUACACGAGCGGCGAACGGGUGAGUAACACGUGGGUGACCUGCCCUCAGCUCUGGGAUAAGCCUGGGAAACCGGGUCUAAUACUGGAUAUGACUCCAUGACGCAUGUUGUGGGGUGGAAAGCCUUGUGCGGCUGAGGAUGGGCCCGCGG